rnacentral:tRNA from 1 species
GCCGGAGUAGCUCAGUGGUAGAGCAUCCGUUUUGUAAACGGACGGUCGUGGGUCCGAUUCCCUCCUCCGGCU